CGUGGUACUACAGCUAACGAGAACAGAUACCCACAAUGCAUCAGCAGCCCUGCCGCAGUAUGUAAACAUACGUCACCUGGUACCAAGACCACCGCUGGUACCCACGGUGUCAGCUAAGCUUACGUUAGUGUUUAUUUCUUGAACCACGCCAACUUAGGCACUGUUUGGUUGAACCGCCAAAGCGGAAAUAGGAAGAGUGACAAAUUCAAACUUUGCAGGUGUCCAGUGAAAAAUUCGUCAGUUGUAGUACUGUGGAAGCAUGCUUGCUGUCGAUCUGAAAAGUACCACCAGAAAAAUGUACGAGUUUAUUUUCUUUUCAAGGCAAUAGUCUGAUGUCCAGAGGAAGCUCUUCAACAAAUCACAAACAAGACAGUUACUAAAUGGCAAACGCUGCUCCUACGAUGCACCACUAACAACUUCAUUUGAGUCAGGUUGACGUCCACAUGAGCGCUUUAUUAGCUCCAGCGCACAAAGACAAAAGGAAGUUAAGGAACCAGUUUUCCACUAACCUGCGAACUGGGCGGACUCUGCAGACCGAUUGAACUAAAGCGGGCCAUCGCACUUGUUAUAUACAAGGGGACCCGUCACACGCGAGCGCUCGCUAAUGGCGCGAUCUUCAGCGCCCGCUGGUGUGGUCGAUGAGCUAUAACAGAAAAUGAUUUCCGGACAAGUGGUGGUAGUCAUAUUCGACGAUAACUCGUGACAAUGAUGAGACUUUGAUGAUAGCAACAAGACGACGAAUAACGCGACGAUGAGGAUAGUGAGAGCUGUGAUAAGUUAUAGACACACCAGUGACACUGACGAUGGAUAAAUCAAGCCAGGAGAAGAGAAAAUGUGGUGCAGAGAAAGAGCUGGAGCGAAAGAAAAUGAGGCUUGCAAUCAGUGCUUCAGAAUGUGGAAAAAUCUCUGAUAUUUUCAAGACUGACCCUAAACCCUGUUCACAGCUGGACAAAUUGGAAGGUGAGACUUCAUCAUCUGCAUCACCUAUAGUCAGUGAAGUUGAACAUGUGACACCAGUUAUUGGUACAUCGAAAAUAUCUACUACUGAUUCCUGCCUGGAGGCACCGCUAAUUGAAGUUGAUAUUCCAACUGCUUCUUCAUCUGCAUAUCUAAGUUCGCCGAUUCAGUCAUUUCAGAGUGACGGUUCACUUGCUCCGACCUCAGACGACAGGUGCUCUUCGAUCUGCUACUUUAGUAAAUCACAUGGAUGGAGAUGAUGGACAUUCGCAGUUUUGGAGUUACUAUCCACAUCAAAAGACUGACAAGCUGUUGUCAAGAGGUCAUUCAUACGAAAAGAUGGUAGCAACCGAUCCUGGCUGUCGUACAAUGAGGAAAUCAUUAUCUUCAAUGUUCAGUGUGCACAGCAUGUUCUAACAGUUCGGAUAACUGCACUUUCAUCAACGGCAUAACUGAUUGGAGACAUGUAUUUCCCACUUCCUCACACGCAGCCUUCGUGAAGAGGUGAAAAGAAAACGAGGGAUAAUGGAAAGAAUUGUGGAGGUGCUCAAAUUAAUUGGGAAGCGAGGACUGAGCUACAGAGGAACCAAUGAAGAAGCAGCGCGCACACUGGAGAGUGUCGAGGCCGACCAUGGAACUUCUCUAGAGGUCAUAAAGCUACUUAGGAAGUAGCAAUGAUUCCAGAACAGAUCAGCAUCUGACAGAAGUCAUUCAAAACAGUAAGCAGCGACAUAGUGAAGUAAAAAGUUCACGAGGACGUUGCUCUCUGGUUACUUUGCUGUCAAAAACACCUGUUAAUUCUGUUAUCACAAUCAUCGAGACAACAUCCGUCAGUGGAUCUCUUCAGAUAUUAAAGACAUGUUUGCUGUGGAGCUUUAUCUAUUUAAUUAUAUUUAUUUAUUUAUUUUUCAACAGUUUAAUUAUCAUAGAUAUUAUCUAAAAUAGCGAAUUACGUUCCUACAUAGACCUCAAAAUACCCCUAAAAUUGCUUAACAUCGCUUCGCUCGCCACUCACUCUGAGUGAAAAAUGCCCGGGCCGCUUUAAUUAACAUCCCAGUCCGCCCCUGAAAUUUAACCACAUGACGAUAGAUUCCGAGAGCUUCAUACUCUCUUUUGCUCUCAUUCAGCAUCCACACUCCAACUUCUCAAAUGAAGUAAUGGAUCAACAAUAGCUUCUCAGUCCUAAAAAGGCAUUGUAAAACUAUAUGCUUAAGAAUUUGUGAGAUUUCUUCCUGGGUAUAAAUAUGUUCAGUUGCUCGGUUGUAUUGUAAAAUGCACGUCAUCAUAUAUCACUUCAUCUUAUGAGUUUUUAUGCCAUCAUAGCUUUACAUUCAUUGACAUAAACGCCUGUUGACUUCACUUUCAUAUCUCUUCCAACACACUUCUAACUCCUUUCGCCAGUUUUGGGAAUUUCUCUUUGCUGUCAUCACUCACAACUGUAUCUUAACAAAAGAAAGAAAGAAAAAAAACAAUUAUUUCACAUCUCUAUCAUCUAAUAAUUGAUUUUUAAGAAUAGCUAUAUGUGGAUAGUUUGAAUACAUUAUUCUGUACAGUAGUGAAUAUCGGUUAAUCUAUUAUUCUGCAGUAUAGUGAACACUUGUUAAUUUAUAAUUCUGAAAUAUAUGAUUGCCAGUCUGUUUAUUAUAUUUAGUUAUAUAUGCACGCGCUUGUAU